CAGCCAGCGGUGCCAGCAAAACGCUAACCGGGGAGUCAAGGGGUUUGCGAGAGGCGUAGAAAGAAAACUAACUAGGGGUGUAAGGGUUGGUCGUUUUCGUUGAGCUAGACGUUCUGUCGUCGUAGACUCCUUCGUUUCGUAGGCUAGGUUGGAGGAGGGCCGCGGGGUACCUACUUAGACUGCUCGCGCCGUUGCCGCCGCCGCCGCCGGUGGUGGUGCCGAUGCUCACCUUCGAGGGCCGCCGCGACAGCCGCUUGUGCUGCUCGCACGUGCACUGCCGCGACCUGCCCCACCAGUUGCACUUGAGCGAGAAGUGCCACCGGCAGAAGCACCCGGAGAGGGAGCGCUGGGGGCCGCUCGAGGCGUCGGAGCGGCCGCUGAGCAGGACGCUGCGGCCCGGGCUGCACCGCGCCAGGGACGAGCAGGAGCUCCACCAGCGGAAGAGGAGGAAGGAGAAGAGGUCGGAGCACCGCGUCCCGGAGUUCGAGCGCUAGUUGGAGUAGUUGAGGUUCCUAGGGCUGCUGUGCGUGCGGGUGUAGCUGCGGGCGGACGAGGCCGACCCCUACGACCGGAGGCGGCACCCGAGGCAGCAGCCGACGCAGAAGAACUACCGCAGGUACCACUACCAGCACGUCUAGGCCGAGCCGUGGGACCCUACGCGGUCGUUGGCCCGGCGACGGUUCCGGCGGCGCCCCGAGCAGCCCGAGCAGAGGUGGCGGGAGCAGCACAUGUAGUCGUGGCAGAAGAUGUGAAAGUGAGUGACUAACUGUCUAACGACGACGACUAUGUAGUCCAAGGUACCUAGAACGAACGGUCAACGGUGACAGAGCAAAAAAAAUCAUCGAAAAUUGCCCCACUACUCUACAAAAUCGUUUAUAAAGACGACAGAUACAUUUUAUAUAACAACGUAGGCGCUCGAUUAAUCUUGAACUAGUUUGGUACUCUUAAGGGCAACUACUUAUCAAAACUGUAGAG
rnacentral:rRNA from 1 species